GACGAACGCUGGCGACGUGCCUAAUACAUGCAAGUCGAACGAGAGCGCCCGGUGCUUGCACUGGUCAAUCUAGUGGCGAACGGGUGAGUAACACGUGGGUAACCUGCCCAUCAGAGGGGGAUAGCAUCCGGAAACGGAUGCUAAAACCGCAUAGGUCUUCGAGCCGCAUGGCUUGAAGAGGAAAAGAGGCGCAAGCUUCUGCUGAUGGAUGGACCCGCGGUGCAUUAGCUAGUUGGUGAGGUAACGGCUCACCAAGGCCGUGAUGCAUAGCCGACCUGAGAGGGUGAUCGGCCACAUUGGGACUGAGACACGGCCCAAACUCCUACGGGAGGCAGCAGUAGGGAAUCUUCCGCAAUGGACGCAAGUCUGACGGAGCAACGCCGCGUGAGUGAAGAAGGUUUUCGGAUCGUAAAACUCUGUUGUUAGAGAAGAACAAGUGCUAGAGUAACUGUUAGCGCCUUGACGGUAUCUAACCAGAAAGCCACGGCUAACUACGUG
rnacentral:rRNA from 1 species